ACCCGCUGAACUUAAGCAUAUCAAUAAGCGGAGGAAAAGAAACCAACAGGGAUUGCCUCAGUAACGGCGAGUGAAGCGGCAAAAGCUCAAAUUUGAAAUCUGGCUCUUUCAGGGUCCGAGUUGUAAUUUGUAGAAGAUGCUUCGGGUGUGGUCCCGGUCUAAGUUCCUUGGAACAGGACGUCAUAGAGGGUGAGAAUCCCGUAUGUGACUGGGUACCUACGCUCAUGUGAAGCUCUUUCGACGAGUCGAGUUGUUUGGGAAUGCAGCUCAAAAUGGGUGGUAAAUUUCAUCUAAAGCUAAAUAUUGGCCAGAGACCGAUAGCGCACAGGUAGAGUGAUCGAAAGAUGAAAAGCACUUUGGAAAGAGAGUUAAACAGUACGUGAAAUUGUUGAAAGGGAAGCGCUUGCAAUCAGACUUGCGCCUAGUUGAUCAUCCGGGCUUCUGCCCGGUGCACUCGAUUAGGCUCAGGCCAGCAUCGGUUUGGGUGGUUGGAUAAAGACUUGGGGAACGUAGCCUCCUUCGGGGGGUGUUAUAGCCCCAGGUGCAAUGCAGCCUACCUGGACCGAGGACCGCGCUUCGGCUAGGAUGCUGGCGUAAUGGUUGU
rnacentral:rRNA from 1 species